rnacentral:rRNA from 1 species
GACGAACGCUGGCGGCGUGCCUAAUACAUGCAAGUUGAGCGCUGAAGGUUGGUACUUGUACCAACUGGAUGAGCAGCGAACGGGUGAGUAACGCGUGGGGAAUCUGCCUUUGAGCGGGGGACAACAUUUGGAAACGAAUGCUAAUACCGCAUAAAAACUUUAAACACAAGUUUUAAGUUUGAAAGAUGCAAUUACAUCACUCAAAGAUGAUCCCGCGUUGUAUUAGCUAGUUGGUGAGGUAAAGGCUCACCAAGGCGAUGAUACAUAGCCGACCUGAGAGGGUGAUCGGCCACAUUGGGACUGAGACACGGCCCAAACUCCUACGGGAGGCAGCAGUAGGGAAUCUUCGGCAAUGGACGAAAGUCUGACCGAGCAACGCCGCGUGAGUGAAGAAGGUUUUCGGAUCGUAAAACUCUGUUGGUAGAGAAGAACGUUGGUGAGAGUGGAAAGCGCAUCAAGUGACGGUAACUACCCAGAAGGGGACGGCUAACUACGU